CGAGUUAGCCAGGCAAUCGCUGCUGUUUNACAGGAGAGGAAAGUCCGGGCUCCUCGAGGCAAGGUGCCAGGUAACCCCUGGGGGGCGUGAGCCUACGGAAAGUGCAGCAGAGAGNAGACCGCCGGCAAUGUCGGUAAGGGUGAAAGGGUGCGGUAAGAGCGCACCGCGUCAGUGGUAACACGAGACGGCAAGGUAAACCCCACCUGGAGCAAGACCAAAUAGGAAUCCGUUCGGCGUGCCUCGCGUUGGAUUCGGGUNGGUCGCUUGAGCAUAACGGUGACGUUAUGCCUAGAUGAAUGAUUGUCCACGACAGAACCCGGCUUAUCGGCUGACUCAAUUU
rnacentral:RNase_P_RNA from 2 species